AGCAGCCGCGGUAAUUCCAGCUCCAAUAGCGUAUAUUAAAGUUGUUGCAGUUAAAAAGCUCGUAGUUGAAUUUCGGGAUCAAUAUGUCGGUCGUGCCUCCGGUACGUACUGGCAUCAUUGAUUUCUCCCUUCUGACGAACCAUGAUGUCAUUAAUUUGGUGUCAUGGGGAGUCAGGACUGUUACUUUGAAAAAUUAGAGUGUUUAAAGCAGGCUCACGCUUGAAUACAUUAGCAUGGAAUAAUGAAAUAGGACGUUUGACCCUAUUUUGUUGGUUUCUAGGAUCGACGUAAUGAUUAAUAGGGAUAGUUGGGGCAUUAGUAUUCAAUUGUCAGAGGUGAAAUUCUUGGAUUUAUUGAAGACUAACUACUGCGAAAGCAUUUGCCAAGGAUGUUUUCAUUAAUCAAGAACGAAAGUUAGGGGAUCGAAGACGAUCAGAUACCGUCGUAGUC
rnacentral:rRNA from 1 species